rnacentral:rRNA from 1 species
AUGGAUGAGCUUGCUCAACUUAUAGAGAUUUAUCAUGAGGAUUUCGCUCAUUAUGCACGUGAAUAUAUGGAAGAUAACCUUGAGUUGUUGAUUAUUCAUAUGAGAAGAAUUGAAGACUUUAGAGCUUGGCAUGAUAUUGCAAGCAUGACUAAAAAGAUGAUUGAAUUUGAAAGGCAUGUCAUGUUUCUUACUGUUUAUCGCCUCAUUGAGUUGGCAUUGCUACUUUCGGUAGCGACAACGCUAGUUGAAAGGGUCUUCUUAGCAAUGAAAAUCAUCAAGACUGAGUUGCGCAACAAGAUGUCCGGUGGCUAG